UACGAGGGGGGCAAAUGUUGUUCGGAAUCACUGGGCGUAAAGGGAGCGUAGGCGGGUUUCUAAGUCAGGUGUUUAAUCCCGGGGCCCAACCCCGGACAGGCACUUGAAACUGGGAAUCUUGAAUAGUGGAGAGGUCAGUGGAAUUGGGGGUGUAGCGGUGAAAUGCGCAGAUAUCAGGAGGAACACCGAUGGCGAAGGCAAUCCCCUGGGCCUGCACUGACGCUCAUGCACGAAAGCGUGGGGAGCAAACAGG
rnacentral:rRNA from 1 species